ACUAUAUUAACAUAUACAAUGUUUUAAGCUUAGAACUUAAUUAAGUAGCAUAUUUAACACUACAUUUAGUA
rnacentral:tRNA from 2 species